UACGAAGGGGGCUAGCGUUGUUCGGAAUUACUGGGCGUAAAGGGCGCGUAGGCGGCCUCGUCCGUCCGGCGUGAAAUGCCUGGGCUCAACCUAGGAAUUGCGCUCGAUACAGCGAGGCUAGAGUGUGGGAGAGGUUGGUGGAAUUCCCAGUGUAGAGGUGAAAUUCGUAGAUAUUGGGAAGAACACCGGUGGCGAAGGCGGCCAACUGGACCACAACUGACGCUGAGGCGCGAAAGCGUGGGGAGCAAACAGGAUUAGAUGCCCUGGUAGUCCACGCUGUAAACUAUGUGUGCUUGACGUCGGGGGGCAUAGCCCUUCGGUGUCGGAGCUAACGCGGUAAGCACACCGCCUGGGGAGUACGGUCGCAAGAUUAAAACUCAAGG
rnacentral:rRNA from 1 species